rnacentral:rRNA from 1 species
CUACGGGAGGCUCCAGUGGGGAAUAUUGCACAAUGGGCGAAAGCCUGAUGCAGCAACGCCGCGUGGAGGAUGACACAUUUCGGUGCGUAAACUCCUUUUAUAUAAGAAGAUAAUGACGGUAUUAUAUGAAUAAGCACCGGCUAACUCCGUGCCAGCAGCCGCGGUAAUACGGGGGGUGCAAGCGUUACUCGGAAUCACUGGGCGUAAAGAGCAUGUAGGCUGGAUGACAAGUUGGAAGUGAAAUCCUAUGGCUUAACCAUAGAACUGCUUCCAAGACUGUCUUCCUAGAGUAUGGGAGAGGUAGAUGGAAUUUCUGGUGUAGGGGUAAAAUCCGUAGAGAUCAGAAGGAAUACCGAUUGCGAAGGCGAUCUACUGGAACAUUACUGACGCUCAGAUGCGAAAGUGUGGGGAGCAAACAGGAUUAGAUACCCCCGUAGUC